GUGACCUACGGGGCGCAGCAGUGGGGAAUAUUGCACAAUGGGGGAAACCCUGAUGCAGCGACGCCGCGUGAGUGAAGAAGUAUCUCGGUACGUAAAGCUCUAUCAGCAGGGAGGAAAAAAAGUCUUUGGCUUUGGACGGUACCUGACUAAGAAGCCCCGGCUAACUACGUGCCAGCAGCGGGGGUAAUACGUAGGGGGCAAGCGUUAUCCGGAUUUACUGGGGGUAAAGGGAGCGUAGACGGCAGCGCAAG
rnacentral:rRNA from 1 species